UCAAGGGAGCAAAUUGGACCCUAAACCGUGUGAGGACAAGGACACCAGCCCUUAGCACAAUACAUGGCAUAUGGUGUCAGUAGGUCAUCCCUAGCAGAAGAGCUGAGCAAUCAACUCAGCACCCAGACAGCUCAUUCAUGGCCACAGUCAGAGGUGCUAAAUCUGUAGUAGUCAGUCAAUGGCAGCUGCUACAGGCCUGAUCCGCAGGGUAGGUGUGUCUCAAGUUCUGAGAUCAACUUUGCUGGGCAGUGAGCUUAGCCCCAGCACCUG
rnacentral:lncRNA from 1 species